AAUUCCUCAACCAUGUCUUGAUUGAAUUUCAAGGGGGCAUGGCUUGGAAUUUGGGGGUUGCCGGUGGCGAGAACAUUGCCUUGCCGGCUCUCCUGAAAUGCAUUAGCAAUUGGAUGGCUGGUCUUUUCGACGUGGCACGGCCUUUGACGUGAUAAUGAUCGUCGUGGCUGGAGCGUUGUGGACCGAUGCAUGGAUAGCCCAAUGCUUUCAAUAAUGUUUGGGAUCGAUCACUCGUCCUUUGAAAGGCCAUGCUCUCUGUUAUUAGUUGGUCGCAAAGGCUGACGAACACAGAACAAGCUUUUCUCCGGACUUGUAUACACGUUCCUCUUUGAA
rnacentral:misc_RNA from 1 species